rnacentral:rRNA from 1 species
UACGAAGGGGGCUAGCGUUGCUCGGAUUGACUGGGCGUAAAGGGCGCGUAGGCGGAUAGUACAGUCAGGCGUGAAAUUCCUGGGCUCAACCUGGGGGCUGCGUUUGAUACGUGCUGUCUUGAGUUCGGAAGAGGGUCGUGGAAUUCCCAGUGUAGAGGUGAAAUUCGUAGAUAUUGGGAAGAACACCGGUGGCGAAGGCGGCGACCUGGUCCGAGACUGACGCUGAGGCGCGAAAGCGUGGGGAGCAAACAGG